rnacentral:rRNA from 1 species
UACAGAGGGUGCGAGCGUUGUUCGGAAUUAUUGGGCGUAAAGGGCGCGUAGGCGGUGCCACAAGUCACUUGUGAAAUCCCCGGGCUUAACCCGGGGCCUGCAGGCGAAACUGUGGUGCUGGAGUAUGGGAGAGGUGCGUGGAAUUCCUGGUGUAGCGGUGAAAUGCGUAGAUAUCAGGAGGAACACCUGUGGCGAAAGCGGCGCACUGGACCACAACUGACGCUGAGGCGCGAAAGCUAGGGGAGCAAACAGG